AACAAGGUCUCCGUUGGUGAACCAGCGGAGGGAUCAUUACUGAGUUUACGCUCUAUAACCCUUUGUGAACAUACCUAUAACUGUUGCUUCGGCGGGCAGGGUCUCCGUGACCCUCCCGGCCUCCCGCCCCCGGGCGGGUCGGCGCCCGCCGGAGGAUAACCAAACUCUGAUUUAACGACGUUUCUUCUGAGUGGUACAAGCAAAUAAUCAAAACUUUUAACAACGGAUCUCUUGGUUCUGGCAUCGAUGAAGAACGCAGCGAAAUGCGAUAAGUAAUGUGAAUUGCAGAAUUCAGUGAAUCAUCGAAUCUUUGAACGCACAUUGCGCCCGCCAGCAUUCUGGCGGGCAUGCCUGUUCGAGCGUCAUUUCAACCCUCAAGCUCUGCUUGGUGUUGGGGCCCUACAGCUGAUGUAGGCCCUCAAAGGUAGUGGCGGACCCUCCCGGAGCCUCCUUUGCGUAGUAACUUUACGUCUCGCACUGGGAUCCGGAGGGACUCUUGCCGUAAAACCCCCCAAUUUUCCAAAGGUUGACCUCGGAUCAGGUAGGAAUACCCGCUGAACUUAAGCAUAUC
rnacentral:rRNA from 1 species